GGCUAAUGGAAUCAAGGGAUAUGGGGGGAAAGCAGGAACGGGGCACUGAUUUUGGUUGAUCAGCCAUGAUCAUAUUGAAUGGCAGUGCAGGCUCAAAGCGCCGAAGGACCUACUCCUGCACCCAUUUUCUAUGCUUCUAUGUUUCUAUCUCACCUAUUCAACUUCUCCAAAGAUGCUGAAGAAGGGUCUCGAACCGAAACGUCACCCAUUCCUUCUCUCCAGAGAUGCUGCCUGUCCUGCUGAGUUACUCCAGCUUUUUGUGUCUAUCUCCAAAGAUGCUGUCUGACCCGCUGAGUUACUCCCAACAUGGGUUGCUGACCCCAAAUGAUACUACAGUUUGUCUUUCUACAGUGUUGGGUUUAUUUUUUAAACCUUCUUAAUAUAUAAACUGUAAUUUAACCUUCUUUAGUUUCAAAUAUAUAGUUUGUUCAUAAUUUAAACAUAGUAAAUAUACAUUGUUCUCUAUACAUUGCCAACAGCAGAAUUGACAGUAUACAUUGUUCUCUACAUUCAUUGAAACAUCAACUUGAUACAUUCUCAUGUCUCCUCCUUACUCAAUGCAUUCCAUGCUUUCUGACAUGAUUGGCCCAUUUCCCUUGCUGAUUACUCACACUGGGGUAAUAGUGGAAAAUCUCCCCUGUACUGAGUGUCUCAUGAACCUGCAGUUAUCUUGAUUUCAUCUUGAUUGUGUAAUAUAGCACAACAUAAAUCCUGUGAGUGAAGAGAUUCUUGACAAAUCAACUCUGCAUUUCUUGGUACCUCAAAUUCCAACGACAAUGUUUUACGUAUUUUUAAUUGACUAUUGAGCACUUUGUCGCACCUUGAAAUCACAAAAGGCAACUUGCAUUUAUGACCUUAUUUUGUCAAUGGACAUCCAAAAAUGCAAGAGACUUCUUUUCUUAGUCCAGUCAAAGAAGAUCAAGAACAGCAAAUACAGCAUGACAAGUAAAGAUACAAAGUGCUGGAGCAACUCAGCAGGACAGGCAGCAACUCUGGAGAACAUGGAGAGUAGACGUUUUGAGUCAGGACCCUUCUUCAGACAAUUGUUCUUGUAUUUUUGCCCCUUUUUCAUCUUUACAAUUAAGCUGAACCAUCACAUGACAACAAUUUCUAAUCUUUUAUAAAGCAUAUACUGGAUUUAAUUGAGAAAUAUUCAAGCAGCAGUUCCAGUGCUUGUGGUGUAGGGGCUUGCAUUGCAUCAAUAUGAUUAAAUAUAAAUUGGUGAUAAAAGUAAAUAAUGACAGCGGUCCAAGCAUCCUCUAAUACCAGACGAUGAUGUUGAAUAGAAACAUAUACAGUGUAACAGCAAUUCAAAACUUACAAAAGAGAAAACUAUGAAGUCCAGGCACCAUAAAUAGGUAAAUCAUAAUUAAAGCUGCUGCUUCCGAAGAAUCCUGUAACUCGAGCUUAUUCUUGAAAACAGAAAUGUUUUUGAAUGAUGUCUUUUUAAACAAAUGCCAAUUAUUGACUAACACUGUGAUCCCAACAGAAAGGUAUUGUUCACGGAAAGGUAGUAAUCCAAACAGUUCCUUGCACCAGAUGCCUGCUAAAUUGUUUUUAAUUCUCAGUAGACAGUAGAUAACUAAACCUAGAGGACCUAGUAAUAGCAAAGAGGAAGUAAUCACAUCAGUCUUCUCCUGGCAUGCAAACAAGGAAAAGGCAUCUGUUAUAUGUGAGUCACAAGCCAUCAGAGCCCUGACAGUGCGUGGAAUAGACCUAAUUUAUUAAACAGAGUUUCUAAUAUAAACACUAAUUUAUUUCAAACUGAAUGACCGUAGAUCUGGAUUAUGUGAGCAACAUGCAAAGUAAUUCUAGUAUGAUGUUAGAAAGGCAGCUGCACUACAACACGCUCAGAAAACUGAUUCAUUUGGAUUGAGAAUAUCAAGAUGCCACCAGAGGAGACUGAUCGUAUGACUGGAAACCACUGCUGUGCAGAGAUCUAGGGCUGGAAUUAUAUUGCACUUGGUGUGAACUGAGACAGUUAUGACAAGGUCAACUGGACUGAUCCUCACUCCGUACAACUUUACUAAGCCUGGUAAUACUUUCAUGUUGUUUUACUUUUCUGCUGGAUUGGCAUCUGUAUGAAUAUGUUCAUCCUCUGGACAAAUAUAUUGCCUCUGCCUUGUUGGGCGAAAUAAAACAAUUACCAAAUGCUUUUCCAAGUAGAUAUUUUCAGUGGUAUGAACAAUAUUUCAUUUGAAGCGGUGAAACGUUUAGUAUUUAUCAGUAAAAUUCCGGCAUCCAUCUCUAAAGUGGAGUUUGUUUGGUCCGCAGUUGUUUAACGUUUGUUUGGUCCGCAGUUGUUUAACGUUUGCCUCAUGAAGAAGCUUAUGGGGUCCAGCUUGAUUUAACACAUGGGGGCCACCUUGUGGUUAAUGAUGACAUUUAUAAUUAUAUUCAAUUUUGGUUUAGAAUCAUCGUUAGAGGGCACAGAGAUAAGCCCUUUGCCCCAUCAUCUCCAUGUCAACGUCAACCAACAAGCAUUGACCAGCAUGUGGUCCUUAGCUUUGUAUGUCAUGUGGUUCAAGUAGUUGUCACAAUGCUUUUUUUUAUUUUUUAUUUUUUAUAAUAUUUUUAUUAGAAGUAGACAUAUUAUAAAGUAUAGUUACAUAUUAUAGUAAAAAGACUUUUCAUAUACAUCAGUCAUACAUUAUUAAAAUUUUCAAUUAUCAAUUACUUCUGCUUCUAGUGUUUUUAUUUUUUAUAGAAAGAGAGGGUAGAAAGUUACAAAUAAAAAAAAAACAGAAAAA